rnacentral:lncRNA from 1 species
GUGAAGGAGUACAGAAAGGUCAGGCAGCAAAGGGAUUCUAAAGGCCUGGAAUAAGCGAUUGCACAUUCUUUCUGGUGAUUUUUCUUCUAGUCCACAUCCCACCCCAAGCCCACAGCCUGCUUCAUCCCAACUGCAAUCUCAACUACUCCCUCACCUCCUUCUUCCAAAGAGAAAGAUGUGAAAAAGCAAAAUCAGUCAGUCUGAUCUCACCUUCCCUUCCCUCCAUUUAAUGGAGGGUUGGGGGUUGGGGAGAGCAUGCAACAAGGAAAUAGCUCUGGAAUCCAGAACAUCUGGCUUCUAUUCAGACCCAAUCACCAACCUUGGGAGCAUAUUGAAAGCAUUUGGCUGUCUCAACAGUCUAAAAGAAGCUAUUUAUUUCAGACUCAACAACCAGCCCAACCAUAUGCUUCCAUUUGGAAACAAUUGGAGGUCUUUGAGGAAUUACCACACCAUCUUC